rnacentral:rRNA from 1 species
AUUGAACGCUGGCGGCAGGCCUAACACAUGCAAGUCGAGCGAGCGGCGGACGGGUGAGUAAUGUCUGGGAAACUGCCUGAUGGAGGGGGAUAACUACUGUAAACGGUAGCUAAUAUCGCAUACCAUCAGAUGUGCCCAGAUGGGAUUAGCUAGUAGGGGGGGUAACGGCUCACCAAGGCGACGAUCCCGAGCUGGUCUGAGAGGAUGACCAUCCACACUGGAACUGAGACACGGUCCAGACUCCUACGGGAGGCAGCAGUGGGGAAUAUUGCACAAUGGGCGAAAGCCUGAUGCAGCCAUGCCGCGUGUAUGAAGAAGGCCUUCGGGUUGUAAAGCACUUUCAGCGGGGAGGCGUUACCCGCAGAAGAAGCACCGGCUAACGCCGUGCCAGCAGCCGCGGUAAUUC